UAUCAAAUAAACCAUUUUUCUUGUUGUUCUACUUCGUACAACAGUAUUUUUUACUUAACAGCGAUGUGAAUGCAUGUAAGACGCCACACCUGGCUCCAGUUUCACUGUGAUGUGGUUAAAACCUCUAGAAUAGAGAUCAACUAAAAAAGUGCGCUGGGAAAACAAAAUCUUCAAACAAGUCACUGACUGCCUGAAGCCUGGAACCCACGGACAUCACUAAAUGCUGAGUUUGCUCCCUUGAGAUGCUUUGCCAAGCCUUUGCUGCAGCUGCCUUCAGUUGUAAACUAUCAGAGUGCUCUUGACUUUGAUAGAUGUUGUGAAGGGGUUUUUCUUCACCAAGGAAAGAAUUCUGCGAUCAUCCACUUUUGUCGUCUUCCGUGGUCUUCCAGGCCUUUUGGUGUUCCUUCUUUUUAAGAAUGUACCAAAUUGUUGAUUUGGCCACUCCUAAAGUUUCUGCUAUCUCUCUGAUAGGUCUGUAUUGUUUUUUUUUUCCAGUCUAAUGAUGGCCUCUAUCACUUGCAUCAACAUCUCUUUGGACUGCAUAUUGAUAGUUUGCAUGAACAGCUACCAAAUGCAAAUUCUACACCUGGAAUCAAUGCCAGACAGUCAAUUGUCCAAUUACUUAAAGUCUGUAAUUCCUAAGCAGUUAAUGCAAUAUUUUUCUUAAACCCCUUGAAUUAAAGAUGAAAGUCUACUCUCCAAUCACAUUGUGAUUUCUUCAUUUCAAUUCCACUGUGGUGGUGUACAGAGGAAAAUUACAAAAAUUGUGUCACUGUCCAAAUACUUAUGGACCCAACUGUGUA